UACGUAGGGUGCAGGCGUUAAUCGGAAUUACUGGGCGUAAAGCGUGCGCAGGCGGUUUGCUAAGACAGGUGUGAAAUCCCCGGGCUUAACCUGGGAACUGCGCUUGUAACUGGCAAGCUUGAGUGUGGCAGAGGGGGGUGGAAUUCCACGUGUAGCAGUGAAAUGCGUAGAGAUGUGGAGGAACACCGAUGGCGAAGGCAGCCCCCUGGGCUAACACUGACGCCUCAUGCACGAAAGCGUGGG
rnacentral:rRNA from 1 species